GAGACGGACCUCUUUAGAUUUCUGGGCGGCUGAGGAACGCGGCUGCAGCUCCGCGGCUGAGCGAGGGGGGUGGGAGGAAUGGCGGGGGAAGGGAAGGUGACUGCCUCGAGAGCCGAGCCGCCCGGCCUCGCCAGCCCGCCGCCGCCUCAGCGUUUGGCCGGGGGCGGGGCCGCAGCCUCGUCCUAGUCCAGCCGCAGCCACCGGCGUCCCUCGAAUAAAUAAGUAAAUAAAAGCAAGUUGCGUCCACCUUUGGAUGACUUACCUCGCGGUCUCCACCCUUUUCUCGGAGGGGCAUUUCAAAUUGCUGUCAUAUAAGGUCAUUUAAGGAGGAGUGAUCACCAAGAGGCACCCAGUAUCUUGUUUAGUCAAUAAAUGAAUGAUGAUCAUG